rnacentral:lncRNA from 1 species
AUACAGCAAGAGUGUUUUCAGGACAAGAAGGCCUUUGCUGUUACAGGUCCGCUGCACUUUUCCAUUACUUUUCUGGGUUGCUAGCAUUAGGUUCACACUAUAUUUGAUCUGAUAGUAAUGGGGCUGGAGACAGUCAAAGUGUUGUAAAAUCCUCUGAUUUAUCCCAGGGUAAAGUCUUCCAGUGCAGUGACUACAAAAGAUACCAGCAAAGCAAUCUACACAGGGCCUCCCUGACAUGUUGGGUUUGGAGCCUCCAGCAAGUUAGAGGAAAAGCACAACAGCUCACAAGACCCUGCAAGUUGUGUGCUGGGCAUCUCAGAGGAAAACAAAAAGAUCAUAAAUAAAGGAAUAUGAUGACAGAGGAGGAAAAAACAAGAGGAAUGGAUAAAUCCUUGAGCAAAAAGUUUCCUAUAAGAGUUUGAUGAAAGCCUGCAGCAGACACAGCCACCUGCAUGGUGUUCAGUUGCCCGGGUCUGGAGAGGUCUUUCUUCUGAAGUAACGGGGAAGGAGAGGAAAACCAUGAUUGUUUCAUUACAAGUAUGAAGAUGUCUUCAUUUUAAGUAGUUUUGCAUUUGCAGCACUGUUUCCAAGAGCAGACACAACUGCUCAACCUGGGUUGUGUCUGCCCCUGGUAGCUGACAGCCUCAGAGCUGAAGAUCUACAUGUUGAAGGCCUAAAUACUUUAGUAUUAUCACAGCCCAAACACUUCCAAGUUGUCAGUGAAUAAGAAGAAUUUUGUAAGCAUAUUGGCCUAAAUCCCCUGUGGGUGGCCACCUGGGUUUUCUGGUCCCUCCUCAGCCUGCCUCCCAUUGACUCUGAAAUGCUCACCAAAUCAAGUGUUUGCAGGGGGUCCUUUCCACCCACCCUUUCUGCCAUCUUUUCUCCAUC